rnacentral:rRNA from 1 species
GACGAACGCUGGCGGCGCGCUUAACACAUGCAAGUCGAACGGAAAGGCCUGCUUUCCCUUGUGGUUUGCGGGUACUCGAGUGGCGAACAGGUGAGUAACACGUGAGUGAUCUGCCCCCAACUUGGGUAUAAGCCUGGGAAACUGGGUCUAAUUCCCGAUCGGACUGCAGGGUGGUGCCUGUGGUGGAAAACGAUUUUCUAGUGGUUGGGGAUGAGCUCGCGGCCUUUCAGCUUGUGGGUGGGGUAAUGGCCUACCAAGGCGGCGACGGGGAGCCGGCCUGGGAGGGUGCACGGCGACAUUGAGACUGGGAUACGGCCCAGACGCCUGCGGGAGGCAGCAGUGGGGAAUAUAGCGCAGUGAGCGGAAUCCUGAUGCAGCGACUCCGCGUGGGAGAUGACGGCCUUCGGGUUGUAAACUCCUUUCGACCGCGAGGAAGCCACUUGGUUGGAAGGGUGGUGACGGUAGUGGUAGAAGAAGCACCGGCUAACUACGUG